rnacentral:rRNA from 1 species
AUUGAACGCUGGCGGCAUGCCUUACACAUGCAAGUCGAACGGCAGCACGGGAGCAAUCCUGGUGGCGAGUGGCGAACGGGUGAGUAAUACAUCGGAACGUGCCCAGUAGUGGGGGAUAACCCGGCGAAAGCCGGACUAAUACCGCAUACGACCUACGGGUGAAAGCAGGGGAUCGCAAGACCUUGCGCUAUCGGAGCGGCCGAUGUCAGAUUAGCUAGUUGGAGGGUAAAAGCCUACCAAGGCAACGAUCUGUAGCUGGUCUGAGAGGACGACCAGCCACACUGGGACUGAGACACGGCCCAGACUCCUACGGAGGCAGCAGUGGGGAAUUUUGGACAAUGGGCGCAAGCCUGAUCCAGCCAUGCCGCGUGCGGGAAGAAGG